GCUGGGGUAGGGGAGCGUUGUAAUCGGGUUGAAGUCAGAUCGUGAGGACUGGUGGACUGGUUACAAGUGAGAAUGCCGGUAUGAGUAACGAAAAGAUCAGUGAGAAUCUGAUCCGCCGAAAGCCUAAGGGUUCCUGAGGAAGGUUCGUCCGCUCAGGGUAAGUCGGGACCUAAGGCGAGGCCGAAAGGCGUAGUCGAAGGACAACAGGUUGAAAUUCCUGUACCACCGUGAACCGUUAUGAGUGAUGGGGUGACGCAGAAGGAUAGUGACGCGAGCUGAUGGAUGCUCGUCCAAGCAGUAAGGCUGGUCAAUAGGCAAAUCCGUUGAUCGUAAGGCUAAGCUGUGACGGGGAGGGAAAAUGACAGUACCGAAGGUCAUGAGUUCAGGCUGCCAAGAAAAGCCUCUAGCCAGGGAGAAGGUGCCCGUACCGCAAACCGACACAGGUAGGCGAGCAGAGCAUGCUAAGGCGCGCGGAAGAACUCUCGUUAAGGAACUCGGCAAAAUGACCCCGUAACUUCGGGAGAAGGGGUGCCCCGGUAGGGUGAAUAGCCCGAGGGGGCCGCAGUGAAAAGGCCCAAGCGACUGUUUAGCAAAAACACAGGUCUGUGCGAAGCCGCAAGGCGAAGUAUACGGGCUGACGCCUGCCCGGUGCUGGAAGGUUAAGGGGAGCGGUUAGGGUAAAACCGAAGCUGUGAACCGAAGCCCCAGUAAACGGCGGCCGUAACUAUAACGGUCCUAAGGUAGCGAAAUUCCUUGUCAGGUAAAUUCUGACCCGCACGAAUGGCGUAACGACUUGGGCGCUGUCUCGACGAGAGAUCCGGUGAAAUUUUAAUACCUGUGAAGAUGCAGGUUACCCGCGACAAGACGGAAAGACCCCAUGGAGCUUUACUGCAGCUUGAUAUUGGACUUGGGUACGAUCUGUACAGGAUAGGUGGGAGCCUGAGAAGCAUGAGCGCCAGCUUGUGCGGAGGCGACGUUGGGAUACCACCCUGAUCGUAUCGGAGUUCUAACCUGGUGCCCUGAUCGGGUAUGGGGACAGUGUCAGGCAGGCAGUUUGACUGGGGCGGUCGCCUCCUAAAGCGUAACGGAGGCGCCCCAAGGUUCCCUCAGAAUGGUUGGAAAUCAUUCGCAGAGUGCAAAGGCAAAAGGGAGCUUGACUGCGAGACAAACAGGUCGAGCAGGGACGAAAGUCGGGCUUAGUGAUCCGGUGGUACCGAAUGGAAGGGCCAUCGCUCAACGGAUAAAAGCUACCCUGGGGAUAACAGGCUUAUCUCCCCCAAGAGUCCACAUCGACGGGGAGGUUUGGCACCUCGAUGUCGGCUCAUCGCAUCCUGGGGCUGAAGUAGGUCCCAAGGGUUGGGCUGUUCGCCCAUUAAAGCGGUACGCGAGCUGGGUUCAGAACGUCGUGAGACAGUUCGGUCCCUAUCUGUCGCGGGCGCAGGAAAUUUGAGAGGAGCUGUCCUUAGUACGAGAGGACCGGGAUGGACGUACCGCUGGUGUACCAGUUGUUCCGCCAGGAGCACGGCUGGAUAGCCAAGUACGGAAGGGAUAAGCGCUGAAAGCAUCUAAGCGUGAAGCCCCCCUCAAGAUGAGAUUUCCCCGUAGGUAAGACCCCUUGUAGACGACGAGGUAGAUAGGUUCGGGGUGGAAGCGCGGCAACGUGUGGAGCUGACGAAUACUAAUCGGUCGAGGGCUUAUCCAA
rnacentral:rRNA from 1 species